CCUACGGGGGGCAGCAGUGAGGAAUAUUGGUCAAUGGACGUGAGUCUGAACCAGCCAAGUAGCGUGAAGGAUGACUGCCCUAUGGGUUGUAAACUUCUUUUAUAAAGGAAUAAAACGAGGCACGUGUGCCUUUUUGCAUGUACUUUAUGAAUAAGGAUCGGCUAACUCCGUGCCAGCAGCCGCGGUAAUACGGAGGAUCCGAGCGUUAUCCGGAUUUAUUGGGUUUAAAGGGAGCGUAGAUGGGUUGUUAAGUCAGUUGUGAAAGUUUGCGGCUCAACCGUAAAAUUGCAAUUGAUACUGGGAGUCUUGAGUACAGUUGAGGUAGGCGGAAUUCGUGGUGUAGCGGUGAAAUGCUUAGAUAUCACGAAGAACCCCGAUUGCGAAGGCAGCUUACUAAGCUGUGACUGACGUUGAUGCUCGAAAGUGUGGGUAUCAAACAGGAUUAGAUACCCUUGUAGUC
rnacentral:rRNA from 1 species